UACGGAGGGUGCAAGCGUUAUCCGGAUUUACUGGGUUUAAAGGGUGCGCAGGCGGAUAUGUAAGUCAGUGGUGAAAUCUUCCCGCUUAACGGGAAAACUGCCGUUGAUACUAUAUAUCUUGAAUGCCGUGGAGGUAAGCGGAAUAUGUCAUGUAGCGGUGAAAUGCUUAGAUAUGACACAGAACACCGAUUGCGUAGGCAGCUCACUAAACUCUCACUGACGCUGAGGCACGAAAGCAUGGGGAUCAAACAGG
rnacentral:rRNA from 1 species